rnacentral:rRNA from 1 species
UACGUAGGGUGCAAGCGUUAAUCGGAAUACUGGGCGUAAAGCGUGCGCAGGCGGUGAUGUAAGACAGAUGUGAAAUCCCCGGGCUCAACCUGGGAACUGCAUUUGUGACUGCAUCGCUGGAGUGCGGCAGAGGGGGAUGGAAUUCCGCGUGUAGCAGUGAAAUGCGUAGAGAUGCGGAGGAACACCGAUGGCGAAGGCAGCCCCCUGGGCUAACACUGACGCUCAGGCACGAAAGCGUGGGGAGCAAACAGG